rnacentral:ncRNA from 2 species
ACAUAGAAGCGAUAGCAGCGGCAUCCUUUUUUGUCCUGAUAAGGUAAAAAAGAUAUAGCGAAUAGCGCGACCCGAA